rnacentral:rRNA from 1 species
GUCGAGCGAACAGACGAGGAGCUUGCUCCUCUGACGUUAGCGGCGGACGGGUGAGUAACACGUGGAUAACCUACCUAUAAGACUGGGAUAACUUCGGGAAACCGGAGCUAAUACCGGAUAAUAUAUUGAACCGCAUGGUUCAAUAGUGAAAGACGGUUUUGCUGUCACUUAUAGAUGGAUCCGCGCCGCAUUAAGCUAGUUGGUAAGGUAACGGCUUACCAAGGCAACGAUGCGUAGCCGACCUGAGAGGGUGAUCGGCCACACUGGAACUGAGACACGGUCCAGACUCCUACGGGAGGCAGCAGUAGGGAAUCUUCCGCAAUGGGCGAAAGCCUGACGGAGCAACGCCGCGUGAGUGAUGAAGGUCUUCGGAUCGUAAAACUCUGUUAUUAGGGAAGAACAAAUGUGUAAGUAACUAUGCACGUCUUGACGGUACCUAAUCAGAAAGCCACGGCUAACUACGUGCCAGCAGCCGCGGUAAUACGUAGGUGGCAAGCGUUAUCCGGAAUUAUUGGGCGUAAAGCGCGCGUAGGCGGUUUUUUAAGUCUGAUGUGAAAGCCCACGGCUCAACCGUGGAGGGUCAUUGGAAACUGGAAAACUUGAGUGCAGAAGAGGAAAGUGGAAUUCCAUGUGUAGCGGUGAAAUGCGCAGAGAUAUGGAGGAACACCAGUGGCGAAGGCGACUUCCUGGUCUGUAACUG